rnacentral:rRNA from 1 species
GGCGCUGAAGCGUCGUGCUUAUACUCUGCCGUCGGGACAGUAGUGAUAUCUUUACUACUCUACGGAGUGUAAAAUAUCGUCAGGUCUCGACGAGUAGGUGGGCCGCGGCGGUGAGCGCAGAAGGACUGGGCGUAGGCCCGUCUGGAGCCGCCGUCGGUGCAGAUCUUGGUGGUAGUAGCAAAUACUCCAGCGAGGCCCUGGAGGACUGACGUGGAGAAGGGUUUCGUGUGAACAGCCGUUGCACACGAGUCAGUCGAUCCUAAGCCCUAGGAGAAAUCCGAUGUUAAUGCAGUUGUGUCUUUAUUAUAUGAUGACAUUAUGGACGUGUGAGAGUUUCAAACAGUUGACGUUCAUACUUUUGAUACAGUUGUAUAUACAUGAAUAUGCUGAAUGAAGGCUGAUCUACUAUAAUUUUGUUCACCAGUCUAUCACGUAACACACAACAUAAGUGCAGUUCACUACUUCUGCUUUCUACAGUAGUUGUAGACUCUCGCUUUGAGUGUCGGUCGUGUGGUCUGUCUGUUCAGGAUAUGUGGUAGUUGAAACACAUUCUCUUUUCUGUAUUGUAGAAAAAGUGUCUUCUGUCUCUAUCCACUGAAAUGAUAAAUCAUUGUUAGAGAAGUAUCACACUCAUUGGGCGAAAGGGAAUCCGGUUCCUAUUCCGGAACCCGGCAGCGGAACCGUUUACAAGUCGGGCCCUCGUAAGAGAGUUCGUCGGGGCAACCCAACAGGACCUGGAGACGCCGUCGGGAGAUCCGGGAAGAGUUUUCUUUUCUGUAUGAGCGUUCGAGUUCCCUGGAAUCCUCUAGCAGGGAGAUAGGGUUUGGAACGCGAAGAGCACCGCAGUUGCGGCGGUGUCUGGAUCGUCCCCUCGGACCUGAAAAUCCAGGAGAGGGCCACGUGGAGGUGUCGCGCCGGUUCGACCCAAUCCGCAGCAGGUCUCCAAGGAG